GGAAGGUACCUGACCUCCAGCAGCUCUCUCGAGGUCCUUCGAGAAGAGUCCCAGAGGAGAAGAGCAUGCCAGGACAGUUUUGGAAUUUGCCUACCUGGGAGCUGGAUUGAGCUCAUUGGUCCAUUCUCUAAUCCCAAGCUCCCUUUCAGUCAAUCGGGAAGCCUCCUGAAGUUCCAGGAGUGUGUUGGCUCUUCCAUCUUCAGGAACUGAGCUCACGCAGCAUCUUCCUCGCUUCCUCAACAAAGGGAAAAAAAGGAAAUAGACAAAGGACUCUUCAUUACACACUAGGAGAAGAUGUAAGGAAGAAAGGAGGAGAGAGAAAGAGAAAGAAAGAAGAGAGAGGUGAGAGAAAGAGAAAAAGAGAAGUAGAUGAGAAGAGGGAGGGAAGAAGAGGGAGAGAGAGACAGAGGGGGGGAAGAGAGGGGGGAAGAGGAGAGAGAGAGAGAGAGAGAGAGAGAGAGAGAGAGAGAGAGAGAGAGNNNNNNNNNNGAGAGAGAGAGAGAGAGAGAGAGAGAGAGAGAGA
rnacentral:lncRNA from 1 species